UGUUUCGGCUAGGGGGCCAUCCCGGCUUACCAACCCGAUGCAAACUGCGAAUACCGGAGAAUGUUAUCACGGGAGACACACGGCGGGUGCUAACGUCCGUCGUGAAGAGGGAAACAACCCAGACCGCCAGCUAAGGUCCCAAAGUCAUGGUUAAGUGGGAAACGAUGUGGGAAGGCCCAGACAGCCAGGAUGUUGGCUUAGAAGCAGCCAUCAUUUAAAGAAAGCGUAAUAGCUCACUGGUCGAGUCGGCCUGCGCGGAAGAUGUAACGGGGCUAAACCAUGCACCGAAGCUGCGGCAGCGACGCUUAUGCGUUCGUUGGGUAGGGGAGCGUUCUGUAAGCCUGUGAAGGUGGCCUGUGAGGGUUGCUGGAGGUAUCAGAAGUGCGAAUGCUGACAUAAGUAACGAUAAAGCGGGUGAAAAGCCC
rnacentral:rRNA from 1 species